rnacentral:rRNA from 1 species
UACGAAGGGGGGCUAGCGUUGCUCGGAAUCACUGGGCGUAAAGCGCACGUAGGCGGAUCUUUAAGUCAGGGGUGAAAUCCUGGAGCUCAACUCCAGAACUGCCUUUGAUACUGGGGAUCUCGAGUCCGGGAGAGGUGAGUGGAACUCCGAGUGUAGAGGUGAAAUUCGUAGAUAUUCGGAAGAACACCAGUGGCGAAGGCGGCUCACUGGCCCGGUACUGACGCUGAGGUGCGAAAGCGUGGGGAGCAAACAGG